UUUAUAGUUACUGAAACAUCCUUAGUUGCACUAGAAC
rnacentral:sRNA from 1 species